ACGUGUUAUAAAAUAACCUAGGAUAUGUGCGAUAAUUCAGAGCUGCACGUAAAGUAGAUGAGACACAGCAUUUAACGAGGUUCGGCUAUGCCUACGUCCUCGGAGAGCAGCAGCAGUAACUUUUCCACUAUGUAAAAUAAUAGGGCUAUAAGUUUAGUGUUUACAAUAUAUGUGGCUCACUGAAUUUUCUCUCUAUGAGAAUUUCUCUCUGCUCUCUCUUUCCUCUUUCUUCCUUCUCUUCCUUUCUCUUUUUUCUUCUUCUUUUCUUCUUUCCGUUUCUCUUCUUAUUUAUAGGCUGAAAUAAUCACUAUUCAUCACUGUUCACCCGUGACAGACAAACUCUAUCAAAGCCGCCAAAUGAACAGUAAUGAACAGUAUGAAUAGUCACCCGUGACAGACAAAUUCUAUCAAAGCCGCCAAAUGAACAGUAAUGAACAGUAAUGAAUAGUUAGUGGGCUCCACAGAUUUAUAUUUUAUUCUUUUACAACAGUUGGGUGUUAAUUUGAAGGAUUAUCGUGACAAAAAGAAAAAAUCUUACGAAAAUUGAUGUUGGGUGUUAAUUUGAAGGACUAUCACAUGACAAAAAGAAAAAACCUUACAGAAAUCUCAUUGUCUUUAUAUUAUCCAUCUUUGGGAUGGAACUAGACAAAAUUAAGAAUUUUUCGACAAGUGAACUACCUAAAAUAAAAAUAUACAUUAUAAGUUACGCUAUGCUAUCUCAUACUUCAUUAUCUGGUGACACCAACUAAGAUACUAGGUCUUCUUCACUUUAAUUAUAGUCAAACUUGCAAACUUCAUCACAUGGAAACCGCGAAAAAGCCACACAACAUAUGGGCUCCAGUCACUUGAUGGGCUAUAUAUAGGUUUAAUUUUUUUUUUUCUUUUUCAAAAAGCUACAGUGGGCUGCUUUGCUUUAUAGGCUUAAUAUAUUUGGUUUGGCUUAAUAUCACAAAAUGUUUUAAGGUUUACGAAACUAUCAUAUUGUAUUUUUAAUAUUUUUUUGUGUCAUUCAUGGACCUCAAGAUUAGUAUAUGUGAUCACAAAUGGUUCAUACUAUUAGUUUCUAUCGAAAACUCCGUUAGUUUGCCGACAUAGUAUAUAUAUAUAUAUAUAUAAACAUCCCUAAGGUUUACGGACCUAUCACAAAUGGUCCUAGCGAAAUUUCUUAAUUUAAA
rnacentral:lncRNA from 1 species